rnacentral:tRNA from 1 species
AGUGUAGCUUGGUGGUAGAGCACUUGCCUAGUAGGCAUGAAGUCCUGGGUUCGAUCCCCAGUACU